UCUGUGGUUUAACCCACAGCGCCACCAGCGUCCCCCAAUGAAAAUAGGGAUGUCCUAAGGAAAAGCAGGGGCCGCGGGUGGCGCUGUGGGUUAAACCACAG